GACGAACGCUGGCGGCGUGCUUAACACAUGCAAGUCGAACGGAAAGGCCCCUUUGUGGUUACUCGAGUGGCGAACGGGUGGGUAACACGUGAGUAACCUGCCCUUGACUUCGGGAUAACUUCAUGAAACUGGGGCUAAUACCUGAUAGGAAUCCUUUCUUCAUGGUUGGGGUUGGAAAGCUUCGGCGGUUUUGGAUGGACUCGCGGCUUAUCAGCUUGUUGGUGGGGUAGUGGCUUACCAAGGCUUUGACGGGUAGCCGGCCUGAGAGGGCGACCGGCCACAUUGGGACUGAGAUACGGCCCAGACUCCUACGGGAGGCAGCAGUGGGGAAGAUUGCACAAUGGGCGGAAGCCUGAUGCAGCAACGCCGCGUGCGGGAUGACGGCCUUCGGGUUGGAAACCGCUUUCAGCAGGGGCGAAGCUUGUGGUGACGGUACCUGCAGAAGAAGCACCGGCUAACUACGUG
rnacentral:rRNA from 1 species